CCUUCAACCGGUAAAUUGCAGGGAUAGAGAGAGUAUCUGUAGAUUAAGACUUAGAAGAUAUAUCAACCAAGUAACCACUUACAAAACAUAGACUGGAUUUGGAUCCUGAAUUGAACACAUUUUCUUUUAAAGAGUCCUGAGGGCCAAGAUGGCAAACUGGUUCCACCAAGCCAAGCAAGCCCAAACCAUCGCUACCCAGGAUGGAAGCCUCAUUUCGCCAGGGCCACCCAUGAGGCAAGCGAAUGAAAUAUUCACCUGGACUCACCAUCAUCAACACUUCAAGAAAACUGUGGUUUGGAUGAUCAAAACCAUUUACCAUCCCAGCCAGCCUGCCCCCUUCCAAAAGAAAGAGCAUGUUUCAGCACCAACUCCUACAAAGAAGAGUGACUGCUUUAAAACAGGGACGGUCAGAUGGGCUAAUUUCCUGAAUGUUUCCCAAAUAUUUCUUUUCAUUUCUUCCUAUAAGAGAUGCUUUCCACAAAUACCAAGGUAUUGAUUUUCCAAUUGAUCGAGGUGGAGAAUGUUUCAUACAGUUAUGACUCCUGACAAGUGGGGAAUAAAAAGCCAAUCAUAAUGA
rnacentral:lncRNA from 1 species